ACAUGAAACAUAAAGUGUGUGUGUUCUCGGUAUAACUAAAGCAUACACUUCGUCUGCAAAAACAAACAAAAUAUAUUUCCAAACGAAACAUCUAUUAUACUAAGAAAAACCUCAUUAUGAGAAUCAUGCAAAUACAAAAAAAUAACAAAUAUUAUUCAGCUCUCAUACAAAUACACACUACACAUUAUUAUACAUGGUUUUUGAAAUAAGUAACAACUCAACGUAAACAAAACAACAAACUUAUCACAAACCAUUGACUCAAAAUGUUAACGCCCCUGAAUAAAUGGACCUUUGAACUAAAUGGUUAAAGAAAUAAAGAAUUUUUUUUUAACUCACCUUCUAUAAGACAUAGCUACAACAACUUAUCCUUACACAAAAUACUACACAAUGAAUAAGGAGCCACUUCUCUCUUAUCAGUUCUCACACCAAACAAAAUCUACAGAAGAAAAUCCAUGACAAACACUAUAAGUCU
rnacentral:lncRNA from 1 species